GGAAGGAAUGUAGCUCAGUGGUAGAGCAUCUACUUUGAGUGCAGAAGAUCCUAGGGUUGGGAAUGCUCCCUGUCUAAAACCCUAGAAACCCGCUUCCA